AGCGAACGCUGGCGGCAGGCUUAACACAUGCAAGUCGAACGGGCACUUCGGAGUUAGUGGCGGACGGGUGAGUAACACGUGGGAACGUGCCUUUAGGUUCGGAAUAACUCAGGGAAACUUGUGCUAAUACCGAAUGUGCCCUUCGGGGGAAAGAUUUAUCGCCUUUAGAGCGGCCCGCGUCCGAUUAGCUAGUUGGUGGGGUAAUGGCCCACCAAGGCUACGAUCAGUAGCUGGUCUGAGAGGAUGACCAGCCACAUUGGGACUGAGACACGGCCCAAACUCCUACGGGAGGCAGCAGUGGGGAAUCUUGCGCAAUGGGCGAAAGCCUGACGCAGCCAUGCCGCGUGGAUGAUGAAGGUCUUAGGAUUGUAAAAUCCUUUCACCGGUGAAGAUAAUGACUGUAGCCGGAGAAGAAGCCCCGGCUAACUUCGUGCCAGCAGCCGCCGUAACAC
rnacentral:rRNA from 1 species